rnacentral:rRNA from 1 species
GCGACAGGCCUAACACAUGCAAGUCGAGGGGCGAGCACAAGGAGCAAUCUGAGGUGGCGACCGGCGCACGGGUGAGUAACACGUAUGCAACCUGCCUGUAAGCGGGGAAUAACCCGUUGAAAGACGGACUAAUACCGCAUAAUACUAAAUUACUGCAUGGUAAUUUAUUUAAACAUUUAUGGCUUACAGAUGGGCAUGCGCAUGAUUAGCUAGUUGGAGAGGUAACGGCUCCCCAAGGCAACGAUCAUUAGGGGUUCUGAGAGGAAGGUCCCCCCACACUGGUACUGAGACACGGACCAGACUCCUACGGGAGGCAGCAGUGAGGAAUAUUGGUCAAUGGACGAGAGUCUGAACCAGCCAAGUCGCGUGCAGGAAGAAUGUCCUAUGGAUUGUAAACUGCUUUUGCAGGGGAAUAAAGUGCAUCACGUGUGAUGUUUUGUAUGUACUCUGCGAAUAAGGAUCGGCUAACUCCGUGCCAGCCGCCGC